GACGAACCGUCCUAACGUUAUUCGGAAUCACUGGGCUUAAAGGGUGCGUAGGCGGCCCGGAAAGUUGGGUGUGAAAGCCCUCGGCUCAACCGAGGAAUUGCGCCCAAAACUACCGGGCUGGAGGAAGAUAGAGGUAAGCGGAACUUAGGGUGGAGCGGUGAAAUGCGUUGAUAUCCUAAGGAACACCAGGAGCGAAAGCGGCUUACUGGGUCUUUUCUGACGCUGAGGCACGAAAGCUAGGGGAGCGAACGGG
rnacentral:rRNA from 1 species